UAUUUGAUUAACCAUGUUCUCUCUCUCUCUCUCUCUCUCUCUCUCAAUUCAGGUAAUCAGUAUUUGUCAUUCUUAAGUUUCUGUUGAUCGUCAAGAUAUAUUUCUGUGAAGCAAGUGAAUUUCUUCUCUUACAGGCCAUAUUCUGGAGACUAAGAUAUCGUGGGAAGUUGCUGAUGAUGGUAGCCCUGUGUCACCAGCAAUAGAAAUCAGCGGCAAUGUGACAAGUCAAACUGAAUGAGGAGGGAAACAUCAAUGGAAUGUGGUGAAGAGUGUUGUUGAGAAUUAUUCAGCUACUGGGUAUGUUACAGAGACAUAAUGGGUCCUGGUGUUGGUGGAAAUCAUACCGCCACACCAUACCACCAUUUACAAGGUAAAAUUUUGGAGAAUUAGAAAACCUCCAAGGAGUUUGCUGCUGUGGAUGCUUUUCGACACCCUUUUAUGAACUGAGUUGCAAUGAAACAGAUCUGACAAUGAAGAUGCAAAAGCUUCAGUGAUGUGUAGUGUUGAAGAGAUUUGAGAGGAAUGGAUCUACUACUAGUGAAGUUGCAUAGAAAAAGUUUGUCUUAAUGACAGUGGAAAUGGGACCUCCACUCCAUGCCAUGAAUUACGAGGUAGAGGCCUUUCGACGAGCUGAUCACCCGACCAAGGAUUCCU